rnacentral:lncRNA from 1 species
ACGAGCGGCUGGGGCACCCAAGCAUCCAACUAAAUCCAGCACUCAGAUUUUCAUCUCUGUCAAAUCCAACAUGAAUCCAUCCACUGAAGUGUAAUAAGUGCCAUUUGAAGUAAUGCAGUGACCAUGAAAAAUUCAGAAAGAAAUCCAAAAGAAAAAGGAAGGAAAUUGGCAAAAAUUCCAAAUUCGGCCAAAUUUUGACCAAAAUUUGAAUUUCAAAUUUUAAAUUCAGAAGAAUUUGUCAAAC